rnacentral:lncRNA from 1 species
GAAGUCCGGAGUGAUGAGGCCGUCGGAGAAUUUGCCGUUGGGAUCAUCUCGAGAUUUUCCGUACGGCCAGAAACCUUGAGCGACUAAGGUUUUGGUGAGAGUCUGUUUGUUUCCGGCGUCGAAGUUGGAGUCACCAAAGGUGAACAAGGCGACCACCGGACUAUUCUGUCCGGCGACAGUGAUGGGGUUGUGAAAGAGGGUCAAUACCAAAAUUACACAUAGAACACUGACUAAAUUACAGUUGUUUGCCAUCAUUUAGAGAGAGGGAGAAACAGAACUGUGAAAAGAGAAGAAGAUUGCUUUUGUGCCUUAGCUCGUAGACCGAUUCGUUAUAUUUAUAUUGCAAGUACUACAAUUUGGCAAUGAAAAUAAUAGUUCAUUUUACUAUACAAAUAAUAACGUGUAGCGCGAGGUUCAUUUUACUAUACACCUAUUUAACGCACUAGCAAACGAUUAUCGAUCAAUUAUAUUAUAUAGUUCGCUUAAUCACGUCUGACGCAUUACUGGUUUCUCUUCUACUUUAUUUUUAAUUCUCAACAAAAUAUCUAUUGUUACUACGAGUACCAAGAAAGAUCGUGCUUUUUUUUUUUUGGUUCAACAACAACUUACAAUUACACAAGAGUCUGAAUACACAUAAGCUUUAACCCAAUCCGGCAAUAUAGAAUACAAUUUGGGAUCAUAAUUCAGAAAAGAAAGAGAUUCCCUAGCAAUUCUAUCUGCCACACAAUUCCCUUCUCAUCGGGUAAAAGUCACUUUAACCUCUUCGAAGUGCUGAAAAGAUCGUGCAUUUAGAGGCAAGAAGUAGAAUUAAACAUACAAAUUUCACGGAAAUAUAGGGUGUAAAUGGUAACACUAAACCAGAUUCAGUAAUUUCUGCAGUAACCAUUUGCAUAAAACUAAAUUUUGCUGACUAGCCAAAUUCAACAAAAAAAUUUCAACACCAACAUAUACGUAGAUAUGUUUAUUUCUGCUAAAACUUUUGGAUAAUUUACGAGUACACAACUCGAAUUAAAAUAUUUUUAAUAUCAAAAUACAUAUCAAAUAGAUAUUUUUAAAUAAGUCAGAUUAUACUGAUACGAUAUAUGAAUAAUAUAGAUACAUAAAAUAUCACUACCAGAAUAGACAAGAGACGAAUAUGUUCGGAUAAUUAUAGAUAAUUUGGAUAAUAAUUUUAAUAACGUUUAGAUAACUUAAAUCAAUUAUUAAAAUUUUGCAAAAACAACUCAUACCUAUGCUAAGAUAUUCUUUAAAAGAUAAAUUAUAGUAAUUUCCUUAAUCAUCCUCAUCAUAUUAUUGAUUAAAUUACUUGAAAACAAUUAAAAAAAACAAUUAACAAUCUAUAUUUUAUCAUCAUGUUAAUUUUUGAAAUUAUUUUCUUAAUAGUGUUUUGACAAAGAUUUUCGUUAAUUAUUUACAUAUUUUUAAUAGUUCAAAUUUAAAUAAGAAAGAAUAACUCAAUUUUGCGUUGACACAAUCUUAAUAGUAUAGGUAAUAGCUUAGUUAUGUAUAUAUAAAUUAUAAAAACUUGUGGAGAGUUGUUCCUUAAGAUUUACAGUGAAGAUUAGAGAAGAUUAAGUUUUGAGAGAGUGUCUAUAUCAAAUACAGAAGAGUUGGUCCUUAUUCGUUUGUAAGUUCUAGUAAUUAUCAAUUUGAUUGGAAUCAUUAGAACGACAGAAAGGUGAACAAUUUUGUUUCUAAAAGAGUGCAGAAACUAGAUAAAAAUAAAACACAUUUGCUUACGUGAAGAUGAAGUUUUAUAUGAAGAACGCCUCAUUUGUUUGGUUCAUCUAUUAUCUAUAUAUAUGAUUUUUGGUUUUAUUUCAUAUGAAAAUUAACUGUAAAUAUAGCCGGCCCCAAAGCCAGAUGUAUAAACUUAUCUUUUCUGGAACUUUAUAAUUUCUACUUUUUAUUUUCUUUGUUGCCAAUCAUUUCGAAUAUUACCUUGCAAGAAUAAUUGCAAACAAAAAAAGAGGGUAAAAAAGGUCUCAAAUUGAAUCCACUACCUUCUUAAAUUGAUUCCACCAAAAUUUAUCAUUUUGUUCUAAUGGAGUGCAUGUGGCCCGAAACUUGUCUAAUCUGAGCACAAAGCAGGUCAUUGGACACGCUUUGGUUCAUAUUGUCAGGUUUAUCACGUUACUCAUUGAGAUUUUUCUUAUGGAAAAAACAGAGUUGAGGUUACAUUAUUAUUUUAAAUCUCAACAAAUUAAUAACAGCGCAUUUCAAAUUCCAAGAGCUCGUUCAUGGUAUAGAGAUGGAAAAUAGUGAGCUCAAGAACUAAACGAGUUAGAUAGAUUCACUAGCAUCGACGUCGACGUCAUGGACUAACGAUGAUAUUCUCAUCCAUUGGAUCCUCCCAAAACUCACGCAUAGGCUCAUUAACAGGAUACACAAUGAGCUCACGAACAUUCAUAGGUUGGAUAACAUUUGGGUCCGCUCCAAAAGAUAAGAUGAUGAGAAAACGCUUCUUGUGCCUUCUUUUUUUAAUUAUGGAAUUACCUUUUAAUAUGUGGUUGACAAAAAAAAGAAAUAAAUUUAUGUAAAAGUUUUGUUUCUUUUAAAUAAAAGAUUUGCAAGGGGUAAGAGUUGCAGAGAUCAAUCUUUUAUUAUGGAGGAAAACUCACUAGAGAAACAUGAAAACAUUGGAAAUUAAAACUACUCAAGAUUCCGAUAUUGAUCCAGUUAUAAUUUGACUCAUAACCCUUAUAGAAACCCCGAUCGAUCCCUAAAUAUUGAUUUUAGAGACUCAGUAAUACUCGUAACCGCGGCUCUCCCUGAGUUGAACGGUGGCUGACGUUGGGGGCACCCAAGACUCACGCAUAGGUUCAUCGGCAGGGUAAACGACAAGCUCACGGAUGUUCAUCGGUUGGAUAACAUUUGUAUCGGCUCCAAAAAGAAGAUGACCAAACAUCUCUUGCGCCUUCUCAGUGUUGUGACGUCCGUCGAAGAAUAGGUAAGACCGUUGGUACUCGCAUAGCCUCGAAUGUACGUUAGGAAAACCGCAACCAUAAGCAUCAUGUGUCCCAACUCCGCAGCACGAUGCGUUCGUAACGAAAAAUCCUAAGAAUGGCAAAUAUUAAACACAUGGUAUUAGAAGUUAUAAAAAAAUUUAAAAAUGAAAUUAAACCAUGAUAAUUAACCAACUCACGGAAGUUUUGGUUCCUCUGCGUCCUAGUAAGAAUCGCGUUGUAGAAAUCAAAGACGGUGAAUUGGAAAGGAGCUGAUGCAGGAGCUGUUCUAGCCAAUUCGUUCAACAUCGGUCCAAUUUUUUCGUUGUGUUGUUUAGCCAAAUCGUUGAGUUUCUCAUAGCAUUGAUCCAUCCCGGUGUUGAACUCUUGUCUGACGAUGGGUAAGCAACCCAAUGGAGCUAGGGUUUGGAUCACAAAUUUACUCGCUCCUGAUGAAUACAACAAGCUGAUAUCGUUCUUUAACUUGUUGGUCACGGAAGUGACAAAAGCUUGUUGAGUAGAUGCAUCGGCGUUAGGGUUGUUCUUGGUGAAAUUCAAGUAAUCGUUUGCACCAAUGUAUAUCAUAAACACUGACUUCUUCACGAAAUCAUCAUUCCAAUUUGCUGCUUUCAUUUGAUUGAACUUUCUCACUUGUUGAUUCAGAGUCAACUAAAAAAACAAAAAAAGACAAAAAGACAAAAUUAUAAUUGCAGUUAAAGUCAGAUGUCUUUAAUAAAACAAAAAUAUGCCGUUUAGUAUGAUCCAGGCUAGUCCAUAAGACAGGUCAAGCACAUGCUUUAGACCAGAAGAUAUAUACUAAAUCAUUCGCCAAAAAAAAUAAAAACAGUAAUUUGGUAAAACCUUUAAUAUAUUUUAUAUCAUUAAGAAGGCCAUCUUCCAAUUGUGCUAAGGCCACCUGAAGGUAAAUUAAGGACCGGCUAUGUAUGACCGGGUCAAUAAAAGACAGACAUGGUUCAUUUAUUUUGAAUAAGAUGAUUAUAGUAAGAAAUUAAGUUGACUUACAGAUUCCACCGGAGCUCCGAGUAGAGUAGCAUCAGCGACGGCGAAACUAGCUCCACGUGAGACAUUGACGUUCGGUUGAAGGGCCGGCGGGAUCACGAUCGGAAUCCUCAUGAAUUUAGCUGCAUUUUGUACAUUAAAUAUAUUAGGUUUUCAUAUAAUACAAAUAUAAUCUCCGAAUCUGUUAACGAAAAAAAAUCAAAAAAAAAUCCAUGUGUUUCGAAAAGUGAAUACCAGCUGAACCUUUUUUAUUUUUAAAAUAUUUUAACCGUUAUUUUUAGUAAUUAACUAAUAUCCAACACUCGUCAUUUGUACUAACGUUUUAAAUGAUAAAAAAUAUCAUUUUGCAUGUUUUAUGUUUUGUAGAAUUCGGAUUAAGAUCUUUCAGUUAUACAAACAAAAAAAUGUCGCACCGAGGAAGUCUGGAGCGAUGAGGCCGUCGGAGAAUUUGCCGUUGGGAUCAUCUCGGGAUUUUCCAUACGGCCAGAAAGUUUGAGGGAGUAAGGUUUUGGUGAGAGUCUGUUUGUUUCCGGCGUCGAAGUUGGAGUCACCAAAGGUGAACAAGCCCACCGCCGGAAUAUUCUGCCCGGCGACGGUGAUGGGUUUGUUAAAGAGGGUCAAUACCAAAAAUACACAUAGAACACUGACUAAAUUACAGUUUUUUGCCAUCAUUUAGAGAGUAUACAGAGAGAGAGAAA